CCCUUAGAUGUUCUGGGCCGCACGCGCGCUACACUGAUGCAUUCAACGAGUCUAAAACCUGCUCUGAUAGGGGUGGGUAAUCUUUUGAAUGUGCAUCGUGAUUGGGAUAGAUGAUUGCAAUUUUUCAUCUUCAACGAGGAAUGCCUAGUAAACGCAAGUCAUCAGCUUGUAUUGAUUACGUCCCUGCCCUUUGUACACACCGCCCGUCGCUCCUACCGAUUGAAUGAUCCGAUGAAUAUCAUGGAUUGAGGAUUAUAGCAGGUUCGCCUGUCUUGAUCUUCGAGAAGUGAAGUAAAUCUUAUCAUUUAGAGGAAGGAGAAGUCGUAACA
rnacentral:rRNA from 1 species